rnacentral:rRNA from 1 species
GACGAACGCUGGCGGCGUGCCUAACACAUGCAAGUCGAACGGGGUUACGAGAGCUUGCUCUUGUAACUUAGUGGCGAAUGGGUGAGUAACGCGCGAGGAACCUGCCUUUCAGUGGGGGACAACAGUUGGAAACGACUGCUAAUACCGCAUAAUGUGCUUAAGGGGCAUCCCUUGAGUACCAAAGCUUUAUGUGCUGGAAGAUGGCCUCGCGUCUGAUUAGAUAGUUGGUGGGGUAACGGCCCACCAAGUCGACGAUCAGUGGCCGGUCUGAGAGGAUGAACGGCCACAUUGGGACUGAGAUACGGCCCAG